GCCCGGUUAGCUCAGUCGGUAGAGCAUUCCACUUUUAUACAGUUUCACCGGGUUUUCCUAUCCCCGUGUUAUCGAAUUGUCGGGGGUUCGAGCCCCCCAUUGGGCG